GAGUGGUUGAGGAAAGAGAGUGAGGCAGGAGGAGAAUGAUACUGCAGAGUGGUUGAGGAAAGAGAGAGAGACAGGAGGAGAAUGAUACUGCAGAGUGGUUGAGGAAAGAGAGAGACAGGAGGAGAAUGAUACUGCAGAGUGGUUGAGGAAAGAGAGAGAGACAGGAGGAGAAUGAUACUGCAGAGUGGUUGAGGAAAGACAGAGAGACAGGAGGAGAAUGAUACUGCAGAGUGGUUGAGGAAAGAGAGAGAGGCAGGAGGAGAAUGAUACUGCAGAGUGGUUGAGGAAAGAGAGACAGGAGGAGAAUGAUACUGCAGAGUGGUUGAGGAAAGAGAGAGAGACAGGAGGAGAAUGAUACUGCAGAGUGGUUGAGGAAAGAGAGAGAGACAGGAGGAGAAUGAUACUGCAGAGUGGUUGAGGAAAGAGAGAGGCAGGAGGAGAAUGAUACUGCAGAGUGGUUGAGGAAAGAGAGAGACAGGAGGAGAAUGAUACUGCAGAGUGGUUGAGGAAAGAGAGAGAGACAGGAGGAGAAUGAUACUGCAGAGUGGUUGAGGAAAGAGAGAGAGGCAGGAGGAGAAUGAUACUGCAGAGUGGUUGAGGAAAGAGAGAGAGGCAGGAGGAGAAUGAUACUGCAGAGUGGUUGAGGAAAGAGAGAGAGAGGCAGGAGGAGAAUGAUACUGCAGAGUGGUUGAGGAAAGAGAGAGAGACAGGAGGAGAAUGAUACUGCAGAGUGGUUGAGGAAAGAGAGAGAGAGACAGGAGGAGAAUGAUACUGCAGAGUGGUUGAGGAAAGAGAGAGAGAGACAGGAGGAGAAUGAUACUGCAGAGUGGUUGAGGAAAGAGAGAGACAGGAGGAGAAUGAUACUGCAGAGUGGUUGAGGAAAGAGAGAGAGACAGGAGGAGAAUGAUACUGCAGAGUGGUU
ensembl:lncRNA